rnacentral:rRNA from 1 species
GAUGAACGCUGGCGGCGUGCUUCACACAUGCAAGUCGAACGAAGCACUUUAUUUGAUUUCCUUCGGGACUGAUUAUUUUGUGACUGAGUGGCGGACGGGUGAGUAACGCGUGGGUAACCUGCCUUGUACAGGGGGAUAACAGUUGGAAACGGCUGCUAAUACCGCAUAAGCGCACAGCAUCGCAUGAUGCAGUGUGAAAAACUCCGGUGGUAUAAGAUGGACCCGCGUUGGAUUAGCUAGUUGGUGAGGUAACGGCCCACCAAGGCGACGAUCCAUAGCCGACCUGAGAGGGUGACCGGCCACAUUGGGACUGAGACACGGCCCAAACUCCUACGGGAGGCAGCAGUGGGGAAUAUUGCACAAUGGGCGAAAGCCUGAUGCAGCGACGCCGCGUGAGCGAAGAAGUAUUUCGGUAUGUAAAGCUCUAUCAGCAGGGAAGAUAAUGACGGUACCUGACUAAGAAGCACCGGCUAAAUACGUG